rnacentral:rRNA from 1 species
CGCAUAACGUCGCAAGACCAAAGAGGGGGACCUUCGGGCCUCUUGCCAUCAGAUGUGCCCAGAUGGGAUUAGCUAGUUGGUGAGGUAACGGCUCACCAAGGCGACGAUCCCUAGCUGGUCUGAGAGGAUGACCAGCCACACUGGAACUGAGACACGGUCCAGACUCCUACGGGAGGCAGCAGUGGGGAAUAUUGCACAAUGGGCGCAAGCCUGAUGCAGCCAUGCCGCGUGUAUGAAGAAGGCCUUCGGGUUGUAAAGUACUUUCAGCGGGGAGGAAGGUGUUGUGGUUAAUAACCGCAGCAAUUGACGUUACCCGCAGAAGAAGCACCGGCUAACUCCGUGCCAGCAGCCGCGGUAAUACGGAGGGUGCAAGCGUUAAUCGGAAUUACUGGGCGUAAAGCGCACGCAGGCGGUCUGUCAAGUCGGAUGUGAAAUCCCCGGGCUCAACCUGGGAACUGCAUUCGAAACUGGCAGGCUUGAGUCUUGUAGAGGGGGGUAGAAUUCCAGGUGUAGCGGUGAAAUGCGUAGAGAUCUGGAGGAAUACCGGUGGCGAAGGCGGCCCCCUGGACAAAGACUGACGCUCAGGUGCGAAAGCGUGGGGAGCAAACAGGAUUAGAUACCCUGGUAGUCCACGCCGUAAACGAUGUCUACUUGGAGGUUGUGCCCUUGAGGCGUGGCUUCCGGAGCUAACGCGUUAAGUAGACCGCCUGGGGAGUACGGCCGCAAGGUUAAAACUCAAAUGAAUUGACGGGGGCCCGCACAAGCGGUGGAGCAUGUGGUUUAAUUCGAUGCAACGCGAAGAACCUUACCUGGUCUUGACAUCCACGGAAGUUUUCAGAGAUGAGAAUGUGCCUUCGGGAACCGUGAGACAGGUGCUGCAUGGCUGUCGUCAGCUCGUGUUGUGAAAUGUUGGGUUAAGUCCCGCAACGAGCGCAACCCUUAUCCUUUGUUGCCAGCGGUCCGGCCGGGAACUCAAAGGAGACUGCCAGUGAUAAACUGGAGGAAGGUGGGGAUGACGUCAAGUCAUCAUGGCCCUUACGACCAGGGCUACACACGUGCUACAAUGGCGCAUACAAAGAGAAGCGACCUCGCGAGAGCAAGCGGACCUCAUAAAGUGCGUCGUAGUCCGGAUUGGAGUCUGCAACUCGACUCCAUGAAGUCGGAAUCGCUAGUAAUCGUGGAUCAGAAUGCCACGGUGAAUACGUUCCCGGGCCUUGUACACACCGCCCGUCACACCAUGGGAGUGGGUUGCAAAAGAAGUAGGUAGCUUAACCUUCGGGAGGGCGCUUACCACUUUGUGAUUCAUGACUGGGGUGAAGUCGUAACAAGGUAACCGUAGGGGAACCUGCGGUUGGAUCACCUCCUUACCUUAAAGAA